rnacentral:rRNA from 1 species
GUGGGGAAUAUUGGACAAUGGGCGCAAGCCUGAUCCAGCCAUGCCGCGUGAGUGAUGAAGGCCCUAGGGUUGUAAAGCUCUUUCACCGGUGAAGAUAAUGACGGUAACCGGAGAAGAAGCCCCGGCUAACUUCGUGCCAGCAGCCGCGGUAAUACGAAGGGGGCUAGCGUUGUUCGGAAUUACUGGGCGUAAAGCGCACGUAGUCGGGUAUUUAAGUCAGGGGUGAAAUCCCGGAGCUCAACUCCGGAACUGCCUUUGAUACUGGGUACCUAGAGUAUGGAAGAGGUAAGUGGAAUUCCGGGUGUAGAGGUGAAAUUCGUAGAUAUUCGGAGGAACACCAGUGGCGAAGGCGGCUUACUGGUCCAUUACUGACGCUGAGGUGCGAAAGCGUGGGGAGCAAACAGGAUUAGAUACCCUAGUAGUCC